rnacentral:rRNA from 1 species
GUAGGGAAUCUUGCGCAAUGGGCGAAAGCCUGACGCAGCCAUGCCGCGUGAAUGAUGAAGGUCUUAGGAUUGUAAAAUUCUUUCACCGGGGACGAUAAUGACGGUACCCGGAGAAGAAGCCCCGGCUAACUUCGUGCCAGCAGCCGCGGUAAUACGAAGGGGGCUAGCGUUGCUCGGAAUUACUGGGCGUAAAGGGAGCGUAGGCGGAUAGUUUAGUCAGAGGUGAAAGCCCAGGGCUCAACCUUGGAAUUGCCUUUGAUACUGGCUAUCUUGAGUAUGGAAGAGGUAUGUGGAACUCCGAGUGUAGAGGUGAAAUUCGUAGAUAUUCGGAAGAACACCAGUGGCGAAGGCGACAUACUGGUCCAUUACUGACGCUGAGGCGCGAAAGCGUGGGGAGCAAACAGGAUUAGAUACCCCAGUAGUCC